UCCCUGGUAGCUCAGUCGGUAAAGAAUCUGCCUUCAGUGCAAGAGACCCAGGUUUGAUCCCUGGAUAGGGAA
rnacentral:tRNA from 1 species